AUUGAACGCUGGCGGAAUGCUUUACACACGCAAGUCGAACGGCAGCACGGACUUCGGUCUGGUGGCGAGUGGCGAACGGGUGAGUAAUGUAUCGGAACGUGCCCAGUCGUGGGGGAUAACGUAGUGAAAAUUACGCUAAUACCGCAUACGAUCUAUGGAUGAAAGCGGGGGAUCGCAAGACCUCGCGCGAUUGGAGUGGCCGAUAUCAGAUUAGGUAGUUGGUGGGGUAAAGGCCCACCAAGCCAACGAUCUGUAGCUGGUCUGAGAGGACGACCAGCCACACUGGAACUGAGACACGGUCCAGACUCCUACGGGAGGCAGCAGUGGGGAAUUUUGGACAAUGGGCGAAAGCCUGAUCCAGCCAUUCCGCGUGCAGGAUGAAGGCCCUCGGGUUGUAAACUGCUUUUGUACAGAACGAAAAGGUUUCUACUAAUACUAGGAGCUCAUGACGGUGCUGUAAGAAUAAGCACCGGCUAACCACGUGCCAGCCGCCGCCGUAA
rnacentral:rRNA from 1 species